rnacentral:rRNA from 1 species
UACGUAGGGGGCUAGCGUUGUCCGGAUUUAUUGGGCGUAAAGAGCGUGUAGGCGGCCAUGUAGGUCCGGUGUGAAAACUCGAGGCUUAACCUCGAGAUGUCAUCGGAAACCAUUUGGCUAGAGUCCGGAAGAGGAGAGUGGAAUUCCUGGUGUAGCGGUGAAAUGCGCAGAUAUCAGGGAGAACACCAAUGGCGAAAGCAGCUCUCUGGGACGGUACUGACGCUGAGGCGCGAAAGCGUGGGGAGCGAACAGG